rnacentral:rRNA from 1 species
UACAGAGGGUGCGAGCGUUAAUCGGAAUUACUGGGCGUAAAGCGUGCGUAGACGGUUCUGUAAGUCGGAUGUGAAAUCCCCGGGCUCAACCUGGGAAUUGCAUUCGAGACUGCAAAGCUUGGGUGCGGAAGAGGGAAGCGGAAUUUCCGGUGUAGCGGUGAAAUGCGUAGAGAUCCGGAGGAACACCGACGGCGCAGGCAGCGUCCUGGCCGCUUGCUGACACUGAGGCACGAAAGCUGGGGGAGCAAACAGG